UACGAAGGGGGCUAGCGUUGUUCGGAAUUACUGGGCGUAAAGCGCGCGCAGGCGGCUAUCCAAGUCAGUGGUGAAAGCCCGGAGCUUAACUCCGGAACUGCCAUUGAAACUGUUUAGCUUGAGUAUGAGAGAGGUGAGUGGAAUUCCCAGUGUAGAGGUGAAAUUCGUAGAUAUUGGGAAGAACACCGGUGGCGAGGGCGGCUCACUGGCUCAUUACUGACGCUCAGGCGCGACAGCGUGGGGAUCAAACAGG
rnacentral:rRNA from 1 species